UCCUUUAUUUUCGGUCGGACAAAAUGUGGCUUUACACCGUGUCAGACUGGCAUGGCUGUCUCCUCUAGUCUUGUCCUUCGUUAUCUCUACUUAAAUGAUGUUAUCUUUCAACCGUUUGUUGUCAACAAAUUAUACCUUCACCACUUGUCUUCGACGAAAAUCCCAACCACAUAUAAGCUCCCAUUAUAGAAAUGUACCGCCCUACAAACGAUGUGUGUCUUCAGUUAAACAUAACGAAAGCUCAUCACCUCGCAAAAGUAACUUUGAAACUUUCAGAGAAAAACUCGUGCACGGACCCAACUUUGAUGACUUCUUAUGCAAUAAUUCAAAUGAAACAAUUAUUAAACAGAACAAUAUCCCUGCAGAAAUAACCAAUGACAUACCUUAUUUACAUAAAUCUCUAUUUAAGGGCCAACGACGUAGAGUUUAUCUUGAAACCUAUGGUUGUCAGAUGAAUGUUAAUGAUACAGAUAUUGUCUGGUCAAUAUUGGAGAAGGAGGAUUUUGAAAGAAGUUUUGAUAUCAAAAAUUGUGAUGUAGCAUUCCUGAUGACCUGUUCUAUUCGAGAGGGAGCUGAAACUAAGAUAUGGAAACGUCUAGAAUACUUGAACUUCUUAAAGAAGAAAAGAAAAAGAAACUCUAUGAAAAUUGGAAUUUUGGGAUGUAUGGCAGAGCGGCUGAAAACCAAGAUUCUGGAACAAAGCAAGGCUGUUGAUAUUGUUUGUGGUCCUGAUGCAUAUCGAGAUCUCCCUCACCUUUUGGCAGUUUCCUAUGAAGGGCAGACUGCAGUGAAUGUUCUAUUGUCUUUGGAAGAAACUUAUGCUGAUAUUAUGCCAGUUCAUGUUAAUAACACCAGUAAAUCUGCUUUUGUGUCAAUCAUGCGUGGUUGUGAUAAUAUGUGUUCCUAUUGCAUUGUGCCCUUUACACGGGGACGAGAACGGAGUAGGCCAGUGGAUUCUAUCCUGGAAGAAAUUCGCAUCUUAUCAGAUCAGGGCAUCAAAGAAGUCACACUUUUGGGUCAGAAUGUGAAUAGUUACCGUGACCUUUCCACAUGGCAAAGUGGUGUUGACCUCAACCCCACGCAGAUGGCAUCAGGCUUUAAAACUGUAUAUAAAUCUAAAAAAGGGGGACUGCGUUUUGCUGACUUAUUGGACAAAGUUGCUUCCAUAAAUCCAGAAAUGCGAAUCCGUUUUACAUCACCUCAUCCAAAGGAUUUCCCAGAUUCAGUGUUGCAGUUAAUCAAAGAAAAGCCCAAUAUUUGCAAACAGAUUCACCUCCCUGCACAAAGUGGUAACAACUUUAUCUUGGAACAGAUGCGACGUGGAUAUACAAGAGAAGCUUACCUUGAUCUUGUUCAUCAUGUUCGUCAUGUGAUUCCAGACAUAAGCCUGUCCAGUGACUUCAUAGCUGGUUUCUGUGGUGAGACAGAGGCAGCUCAUCGUGACACCGUCUCCUUGAUGGAAGAGGUCUGCUACAACUUUGCCUUCACUUUCCCAUACAGUAUGAGGCAGAAAACCCGUGCUCACCAUCGACUCAUUGAUGAUGUCCCCAGUGAGAUUAAAGCCAGGCGACAGGCUGAACUGGCAGAGACAUUUCGCAAAGGAGCUUUAGAACUGAACACACAGCAGAUUGGGCAGUUACAAAUUGUUCUCAUCAGUGGAACGAGUAAGCGGUCUCAACUGGAUCUUGCUGGCCGGAAUGAUGGCAACACAAAAGUUAUUAUACCACAGACCAAAAUACCAAUUUUUGAAGAAGCAGAGCCAACAAGAACAAUAGAAGUGGGUGACUACAUUGUUGUUCGAGUUCUAUAUAAAAGUGUAGUUCACCAUUUUUCAACUGAGGGUAUGUUUCUGCUCCCUGCUGAAGGACAAAUUCAACAGUGGAGGCAGAGAAAUCACACUUGAUUUUCUUGUUUAGCCCAGAAAUUCAUAUUUUUCUUAUGUCAUGCAGAAUUUACCAGCGGCUUACAACUCUGUUGUUAGUGUUGAAGUUCAAUAUAACUGGUGCCUCUUCUCAAGUGCUGAAAGGUGAACCUCUGUACCACACAACUUUGGUAAACUUCAGCAGAAAACAAACCCCCCAAAGAAUCCAAUAUUGCCACAGUUAAUUGGUCAUUUGCUUGAGUAAUAGGAGUGAAAUCUACAUUUCAACCUCAUCAAUUUGCAGUCCACUUUCAUCAGCUGCAACUAUGAAAAUAUCCAGCUAACAGUCCAUGAACAAUCAACCUGCAAGAGAACACAACUAAAUCUUUCUCAAGUCAACCCUACCAUCUUAAAACAAAGCAUUUAAUUGUAUAACUUAGAAUACAAUUAAAAAAAAAAAGCAGUGAGAAGAAAGAUGAUACCUGCAAAACCCAAAC